GGAUAGAUGGCUGAGAGGUUUAAUGCACCGGUUUUGAAAACCGACGUAGUGUAAACUACCGGGGGUUCGAAUCCCUCUCUAUCCG
rnacentral:tRNA from 1 species